UCGGAUUGUAGGCUGCAACUCGCCUACAUGAAGUCGGAAUUGCUAGUAAUCGCGGAUCAGCAUGCCGCGGUGAAUACGUUCCCGGGCCUUGUACACACCGCCCGUCACACCAUGGGAGUCGGUAACACCCGAAGCCUGUAGUCUAACCGCAAGGAGGACGCAGUCGAAGGUGGGAUUGAUGACUGGGGUGAAGUCGUAACAAGGUAGC
rnacentral:rRNA from 1 species